rnacentral:rRNA from 1 species
UACGGGGGGGGCAAGCGUUGUUCGGAAUUACUGGGCGUAAAGGGCUCGUAGGCGGCCAACUAAGUCAGACGUGAAAGCCCUCGGCUCAACCGAGGAAUUGCGCUCAAAACUACUGAGCUUGAGGGAGAUAGGGGAGAGCGGAACUGAUGGUGGAGCGGUGAAAUGCGUUGAUAUCAUCAGGAACACCGGUGGCGAAGGCGGCUCUCUGGAUCUCUUCUGACGCUGAGGCACGAAAGCUAGGGGAGCAAACGGG